AAGUCGGAAUCGCUAGUAAUCGUGGAUCAGAAUGCCACGGUGAAUACGUUCCCGGGCCUUGUACACACCGCCCGUCACACCAUGGGAGUGAGUUGCAAAAGAAGUAGGUAGCUUAACCUUCGGGAGGGCGCUUACCACUUUGUGAUUCAUGACUGGGGUGAAGUCGUAACAAGGUAACCGUAGGGGAACCUGCGGUUGGAUCACCUCCUUACCUUAAAGAAGC
rnacentral:rRNA from 1 species